rnacentral:rRNA from 1 species
UACGUAGGGGGCAAGCGUUGUCCGGAUUUAUUGGGCGUAAAGAGCUCGUAGGCGGUCUGUCGCGUCGGCUGUGAAAACUCGGGGCUCAACCCCGAGCCUGCAGUCGAUACGGGCAGACUAGAGUGCUGUAGGGGAGACUGGAAUUCCUGGUGUAGCGGUGAAAUGCGCAGAUAUCAGGAGGAACACCGAUGGCGAAGGCAGAUCUCUGGGCCGUAACUGACGCUGAGGAGCGAAAGCGUGGGGAGCGAACAGG